AGCGAACGCUGGCGGCAGGCUUAACACAUGCAAGUCGAGCGCCCGUAGCAAUACGGGAGCGGCAGACGGGUGAGUAACACGUGGGAACGUGCCUUUUGGUUCGGAACAACUGAGGGAAACUUCAGCUAAUACCGGAUAAGCCCUUACGGGGAAAGAUUUAUCGCCAAAAGAUCGGCCCGCGUCUGAUUAGCUAGUUGGUGGGGUAAUGGCCCACCAAGGCUACGAUCAGUAGCUGGUCUGAGAGGAUGAUCAGCCACACUGGGACUGAGACACGGCCCAGACUCCUACGGGAGGCAGCAGUGGGGAAUCUUGGACAAUGGGCGCAAGCCUGAUCCAGCCAUGCCGCGUGAGUGAUGAAGGCCUUAGGGUUGUAAAGCUCUUUCAGCGGGGGAAGAUAAUGACGGUACCCGCAGAAGAACGCCCCGGCUAACUUCGUGCCAGCCGCCGCCGU
rnacentral:rRNA from 1 species